ACGGCGGCGCGGACACGCCCCAGCUCUGCGCGCCCGGCCCCGAAGCUCCGCCCCCGGCUCCACCCCGGCCAGCGCCCAGACCUGUCCCGGGGUCCUCGUCCCACCCCGCGAGCAGCUAUCUGGCCCUCAGUGGCUCUGUGACCAUGUGCGACCGAGCGUAAAGGCCUGCGUGCACCCGGGCACGAGGCGAUAGGGAAGCGUGGGGCUGACGUGCGUGAGGUGUGUGCGUGCGCGGGGACACGCGGGUCACUGCUGGAGCCUCCAGGCUGCUGGGAGCAUUUGGGAAGAGGGGGAGGGGAGCUUCCGGCACACUGAGCGGUGGCCUGGGGACCUCAACGGAUAAGGGCGCUGGAGUCUUGUGGCUCCUGCGCAGCCUCGAGGCCGCGAGUCACCCUGAUGCCCAGUGGGGACACUGGGCUCCGGAGGUGGCGCUGCAUAGGUCAGAGCGGCUACUGUCGUCCUCUCCUCUGCGCUCCGACCUCGCUACACCAGGUUUCCGGAGCCUGCGACACGCCCGCGUGCGUCAGCGAAUGAAUUCCGAAUUAAACUCCCUGACACCCGGCUUUGCACUGCAAAUUUGCGUGCAAUUUUCCCUCGUGGCAAAGCCGCUCGCCGCCAUUUCCCAAGCAAUUGCGAAACUAGAAAAGGCAAAGUGAGUUUUGUGAGACUCGCGGCAGAGUCUCACUGCAUGGAGAGGUCACGCGGGUUCUAGAUGUCUGCUCUCCUGCAGUGUGGAGCGGAGGGUCACUUUCUCCUUGCCUGGUCUCAGCACAGGUUCUCCUUCCCUACUGAGCGGCUCCCAGCUGCCCACGCCAAACCAAAUCAAAACAGGCUUGGAGAAUCUGAAAUCGCGGGUGAAUGAAGACCUCACACCGUUUGCCUUCAACUAACAGACGUCCUAAGAGAAUUUGGGGUCCAGUGGAGGAAGCGCCAGUUGGUUGCCCACAACCAGCUGUGGCUGAAUAAGGCAGCUGAGAUAUUGAAGACCCAGGUUCUGUUCCCAGCACCCACAUGGUGGUUCACAACCGUCUACACCAGGGGAUGUGGUCCAGCUCUGGCCUCUUUGGGCACUAGGAGAGUCUAUUCAGAAGCUCCUACAACAAGAGAAGAUGUCACCUGCUGGCUUUGGAGAGGGAGGAGGAGAACACACAGCCGGAACUGCGGCUCCCAGGUUGGAGAAGACAACACAUGGAUAUCCCCAAGAACCAGGGAGGAAGCUUGCCUGACAAUGUCUUAGCUCUCGCCCAGGGAAGCCAUUUCAGGCCUAGCUGGUAGCAUUCUCCCUCUGGCCAAGUCUAUUGGAAGCUCGGUUGCUAUGUGGAGACUUAGCCACCAGAUGGAGCUAGAAGAUGACCAAAGAGAAGGGAUCCCUUCUUCCUGGUGCCAAAAUGGUAAGAAACAGUGAGGUGGGAGUCCUCAGAUUAAGGAAGGAAGCCCUGGCCUCUGGCCACUUGAAGUGGAUGGGUGGGGGGGUGGUUGGUUGGUUGGUUGGUUAGUUGGUUGGUUGGUUGGUUGG